CAUAAUUCUCCUGUGGAGUGGGCUUAUAACAGGUAGGGAAGGAGGACAAGUAUGGGAAUUGGUUACUGUGCAGCGGCUGCGGAGGGUUGUUCCGCAUCCACCACCACCACCUCCAGAAGCGCCAUUUGGACGGUCCCCGGCGCCUUGACGAGCAUCCCCACCUGAUGUCUCCAGAUGAGUGAAAUAGUAACAACAAGCUUUUAUAUUUGGAAAUCUAUAUUUUGAUUUGUAUCCUCAUAUACUAAGCACAUCUUAAGACAUGUUUGAAACCUUAAAUAAGAGGUAAGAAUGAAAAUUUCAAUCAUUAUUUCCUUUGGAUUACUAGUACCAAUCAAAAUCCAUUAUUACAAAGACUUUAUUUCC